UAGUAUUUUUAUUUAGCUUUGUUCGAUAUACAAUAGUUAUAAUCAAACUGUGACUUCCAGCAGCUACGGCUUUGACUUCGAGAAUAGUCCGAGAAAGAAUAAAUGAUUUCUUUUGUAUUCCCAGCAUCUUUGUCGUUUACUUUAUUUUCGGCGUCUUUGUUGUUUCUCACUUUGUUUGAUUAGUUUCCCACGUGUGCGUGUGGUGGCGCUGAGGCGUGUAGUUAUGUGUAUUGCCGGAAAACGCGUACAUUCGCAACGAAGUCGCCAUAAUUGCGAUUAUUGCGCCAAAGCAUUUGAUGUUCGUGCAGCCAUAGAUGGAUCGAUCUUUGUUUUGAUAAAAUAAAGAAGGAAUUGUGAAGUAGAUUUGUUGUUAAUGUUUUUCGGUUAAUUUGAAUUUGUUUGCGUUUUAUGAUGUUAAAAAACUUUUAGGAAUAUCUGUAUGAAUAAUUUGGGUGCAAAGCAGUCAUAGAGUCAAUAUUUGUUCGUAUAGAAUUUUAUUUUUCUUUUUUUCUACGAUCAGACAUACUGUACAUAUAAAACAAGCAAUAGAUUUUCGCGAAUUAAAUUCAUUGUUUUCCUCUUAAUUAUUAAAUAAUUAUUACGUAUUUGAGUCAGUGCAUCAUGGAAGAUGAUCAAGGACCUAUUACACUUCUGUAGAAGAAUAUUGAUUUGCAUUGUCAUUAAGUCAAUGUUUUACAAAUUCAAUCUAAUUAAUUUUCCAUCUAUGUCGAUUUAUUUCAUUUUGGACUUAUUACGGAACAGCUUACAUAAAUUUCGAGCUACAACGGGGCGAGUGUUUUGGAGCUAUUGUGGAUCUUAAGCAGUGAGUGAACAAAUUUAAGUCCCUCCAGUAUAUAUUAUGUCGAGGAUGAAAGAUUCGACUUGACAUAAGUUACUGGUUGUAAUUUUUUCUAUUAAUUGUUGAUGAAUAUAGUCAUUAAUAAUUAAUUUUUUAGGUUUGCUCUUGAAUGAUACAGUUUUAAUUGUUUUUUUAUUGGGCAUAGUCUAGUUUCAUUAGCUUAGGAUAGUAUUUUCUUGUUUUAUUAAUGAGUUAUUUAAUUAAUACGAGUCAUGCAACAACUCUUUGCAGUGUGAUUUAAGUGCGAUUGGUUGUCACAAUUGGUGACGAAGGCGCUCACACGUUGGCUUCUGCAGCUUUUUGACUAUGAGUGUUUGAACGUUUGCCAAUUAUGUGGAUGUUAACGAAAUUAAUUAUUAUAAAAAUCAUAAAAUCUGAUUAAUUUGAAUAAAUAUAUUUUGCACAUGCAUUUAAACGUUAUAAUAUAAUCAAACAUCAUAACACAAAAAGUAAGCUUUUCGAGAUCUUUUUUAGAUGCAAUAAUUGAGAACAAUUCAUCCAGUAAAAUAAAAUAAUUUUUGGCCUAGAAGUAUUAGUA